rnacentral:tRNA from 1 species
CGGGUGUCAUGCGUUGGUUAAUAAUCAAGCUCUAGCCUUGGUUUAAGCUAAUAGGAUGCAUUUUUUUUUGAUAAUUAUCAUCUGAAAUAGUCCUGCUUUGGGAGCAGGAUGUCGCAGGUUCAAAUCCUGCUACCCCGACCA